AUUGAACGCUGGCGGCAGGCCUAACACAUGCAAGUCGAACGGUAACAGGGAUCAGCUUGCUGAUUCGCUGACGAGUGGCGGACGGGUGAGUAAUGUCUGGGAAACUGCCUGAUGGAGGGGGAUAACUACUGGAAACGGUAGCUAAUACCGCAUAACGUCGCAAGACCAAAGAGGGGGACCUUCGGGCCUCUUGCCAUCGGAUGUGCCCAGAUGGGAUUAGCUAGUAGGUGGGGUAACGGCUCACCUAGGCGACGAUCCCUAGCUGGUCUGAGAGGAUGACCAGCCACACUGGAACUGAGACACGGUCCAGACUCCUACGGGAGGCAGCAGUGGGGAAUAUUGCACAAUGGGCGCAAGCCUGAUGCAGCCAUGCCGCGUGUAUGAAGAAGGCCUUCGGGUUGUAAAGUACUUUCAGCGGGGAGGAAGGGAGUAAAGUUAAUACCUGUGCUCAUUGACGUUACCCGCAGAAGAAGCACCGGCUAACUCCGG
rnacentral:rRNA from 1 species